rnacentral:rRNA from 1 species
UACGUAGGGGGCGAGCGUUGUCCGGAUUUAUUGGGCGUAAAGCGCGCGUAGGCGGCUACUUAAGUCGGAUGUGAAAGCCCCUGGCUCAACUGGGGAAGUGCACCCGAAACUGAGUGGCUUGAGUACUAAAGAGGGUCGCGGAAUUCCCGGUGUAGAGGUGAAAUUCGUAGAUAUCGGGAGGAACACCGGUGGCGAAGGCGGCGACCUGGGUAGAUACUGACGCUGAGGCGCGAAAGCGUGGGGAGCAAACAGG